rnacentral:rRNA from 1 species
CGUAGGUAACCUGCCUACUAGCGGGGGAUAACUAUUGGAAACGAUAGCUAAUACCGCAUAACAGUGUUUAACACAUGUUAGAUGCUUGAAAGAUGCAAUUGCAUCACUAGUAGAUGGACCUGCGUUGUAUUAGCUAGUUGGUGGGGUAACGGCCCACCAAGGCGACGAUACAUAGCCGACCUGAGAGGGUGAUCGGCCACACUGGGACUGAGACACGGCCCAG